GGCUCAUAUAUUUGAGUGCUUGGUACCCA
rnacentral:piRNA from 1 species